rnacentral:rRNA from 1 species
UACGAAGGGUGCAAGCGUUAAUCGGAAUUACUGGGCGUAAAGCGCGCGUAGGUGGUUCGUUAAGUUAGGAGUGAAAGCCCCGGGCUCAACCUGGGAAUUGCUUCUAAAACUGGCGAGCUAGAGUAUGGUAGAGGGUGGUGGAAUUUCCUGUGUAGCGGUGAAAUGCGUAGAUAUAGGAAGGAACAUCAGUGGCGAAGGCGACCACCUGGACUGAUACUGACACUGAGGUGCGAAAGCGUGGGGAGCAAACAGGAUUAGAUACUCCUGUAGUCCCU